rnacentral:rRNA from 1 species
GAUGAACGCUGGCGGCGCGCCUAACACAUGCAAGUCGAACGGCACCCCUCCUCGGAGGGAAGCGAGUGGCGAACGGCUGAGUAACACGUGGAGAACCUGCCCCCUCCCCCGGGAUAGCCGCCCGAAAGGACGGGUAAUACCGGAUACCCCGGGGUGCCGCAUGGCACCCCGGCUAAAGCCCCGACGGGAGGGGAUGGCUCCGCGGCCCAUCAGGCAGACGGCGGGGUGACGGCCCACCGUGCCGACAACGGGUAGCCGGGUUGAGAGACCGACCGGCCAGAUUGGGACUGAGACACGGCCCAGACUCCUACGGGAGGCAGCAGUGGGGAAUCUUGCGCAAUGGGGGGAACCCUGACGCAGCGACGCCGCGUGCGGGACGGAGGCCUUCGGGUCGUAAACCGCUUUCAGCAGGGAAGAGUCAAGACUGUACCUGCAGAAGAAGCCCCGGCUAACUACGUG